GAUGAACGCUGGCGGCGUGCCUAAUACAUGCAAGUCGAGCGAAUGGAUUAAGAGCUUGCUCUUAUGAAGUUAGCGGCGGACGGGUGAGUAACACGUGGGUAACCUGCCCAUAAGACUGGGAUAACUCCGGGAAACCGGGGCUAAUACCGGAUAACAUUUUGAACCGCAUGGUUCGAAAUUGAAAGGCGGCUUCGGCUGUCACUUAUGGAUGUACCCGCGUCGCAUUAGCUAGUUGGUGAGGUAACGGCUCACCAAGGCAACGAUGCGUAGCCGACCUGAGAGGGUGAUCGGCCACACUGGGACUGAGACACGGCCCAGACUCCUACGGGAGGCAGCAGUAGGGAACCUUCCGCAAUGGACGAAAGUCUGACGGAGCAACGCCGCGUGAGUGAUGAAGGCUUUCGGGUCGUAAAACUCUGUUGUUAGGGAAGAACAAGUGCUAGUUGAAUAAGCUGGCACCUUGACGGUACCUAACCAGAAAGCCACGGCUAACUACGUGCCAGCCGCCGCUGUAA
rnacentral:rRNA from 1 species